rnacentral:tRNA from 1 species
CAGGGAGACAAUUAAUUGAUUGUGAUGUCUAGGUAAAAUAUCUUAGGCCGCAAUCCUGUCACCUUAGGUCGAUCGGUACCUCAGAUUUUUGUAUUAAUUUUAUAAUUAAUUCUUUGAUUUCAGUUCCUAAACUUGUCUAGGUCACACUCAACAAGGGUUUCUCCUGGGCCAUUAGCUCAGGUGGUUAGAGCGCACCCCUGAUAAGGGUGAGGUCCCUGGUUCAAGUCCAGGACGGCCCAUUCGUUGUUGGGGGUAUAGCUCAGUUGGUAGAGCGCCUGCUUUGCAAGCAGGAUGUCAGCGGUUCGAGUCCGCUUACCUCCACUGAAAACUACCCUGAUAACUAAAUCAGGAGAAAAUUUGUAAAUGUGACUUAGAAUUGUCUAUUGAAAAGAACCUAGCUUCUUAUCAUCUUUUAAAGUUGAUAAUAUGCUGGGCUCACAUGGAUUUAUCCAUGAGAAUUCAGUAGAACCUUGAAAACUGCAUAGAUUGAAAGAAUAAAGCAUCUCAUGGAUGCAUAGUUCUUUUUGAUUUUUUAGAUUCAAUUUCUAAAUCUUCAAUUUAAGAACUCAUGUUUAAUUCUUGAGUAAUAGCCGAGCACAAUUGAUUUUGUGUUUGUAUUUAA